rnacentral:lncRNA from 1 species
AAAAUUACGAUAUCCUAGAAAUCAAUUGAAAAGAUCAUAAUUAAUCAUCUUGGAAUGAAAUUAAGAAGAUCAAAAGAAUUACUGAAUAUCCAAGUGCGGAGAUAUCCAAGUUCAUUGGAUUCAUGAUAAAGAUUGAAGAGAUUUAUUUCAUCUUCAUGUUCCUAUAAUAAACAGGUAAGUUUGAUAUUGAAAGAUAGGUUAACUAGCACUCAAGAUAUGAAUUGAACAUGUGUAGGAUUAAUUGGUGAAAUUGGGAGCUUGUAAUUACUUUCUAAAUUGAUUUAUACCCCGAUACUUGAUUUCUCCAUUAUUAUUAUUUUGGAGUUAGGAUAAUUUAACUUAAAAAUCAAAUUAAAUGUGUGUUCUUGUUAGGAUUAAUCUUAAUUGAGAUAAAAAUCAAUGAAGUACUUUAUUACUUGCAUAUGAUACAGCAGGACAACGUCGAAACAUUGAAAGCAAAUCAGAUAGAAGUACCAUAUAUGAAGCUUUUGCCUCUUCAAACUUCAGGCUAAAGUUUGUUUGAAUUGGUAUUAACAGAAUGUUAAUUGAAUUUUCUGUCAAUAUCAAUUUUCUUGUCAUUCCACUGGCAAACACAGAGAGAUAGAAACAAGGUCAAGUGAAAUCAGGAGUACAACACUUCCAAUAAAGAGAAAUCUGUACAGCACAUUCAACGAAAUGAAAUAAAAAUCUGUUUAAUGAGUUCAACAUAAGAGAAAUAAAGUGCAAAAUGACUAGGAAGACAUGAUAUGGCUUCAUUCAUCUAUACUUCACUCAUUCAACAUCCUUGGCAUUGUUAUUCCUCGAAUUAUCUUCCUGCAUACAUGGUUUAGUCAAAAUGAUACUGAAAAGUUAGUCGUUCUUCAUUUAAGUGAAUCAUUCAUAUAUAUGUGUGUGUGAAUGAUUCAUAUUAAAAGUUUCAAGUUCACAAACUAAAUAAUAUCAGUCUGUUCAUCUAAUUCUUCUCUAUCAUAUUUUAAUUUGUAUCAUCCAGCUUAGUAAAUGAGACAUAUUAAACCUAUUGUGAUAUUGCCAUAUAUCAAGAAUUUAUUAAAUCUGGAAAUUCAUAUGAAAAUUUUGCUCCUCAAACUUAUGACAGAUAGAAAUGCAAGUCAAAAGGAAAAAAAAAAUGUAUUACCUGUGAAGUUAGAAUUUUUGAGCUUGUCCAAAUGGAGAUCAUUGAACUUGAUCAGGAGGAAAAAUGGAAAGCUUAAAUUCCCUGCCUUUGUUGGUUUGCUG